rnacentral:rRNA from 1 species
UCGAGGAUCUUCGGCAAUGGGCGCAAGCCUGACCGAGCGACGCCGCGUGUGCGAUGAAGGCCUUCGGGUUGUAAAGCACUGUCGAGGGGGAGAAAGCCCGCAAGGGUUGAUCUAUCCCUGGAGGAAGCACGGGCUAAGUUCGUGCCAGCAGCCGCGGUAAGACGAACCGUGCGAACGUUGUUCGGAAUCACUGGGCUUAAAGGGCGCGUAGGCGGGCCUCAAAGUCAGGGGUGAAAUACUCCGGCUCAACCGGAGCACUGCUUCUGAUACUGGGGGCCUCGAGGGGUGCAGGGGCAUGUGGAACUUCCGGUGGAGCGGUGAAAUGCGUAGAUAUCGGAAGGAACGCCGGUGGCGAAAGCGACGUGCUGGACACCUUCUGACGCUGAGGCGCGAAAGCCAGGGGAGCAAACGGGAUUAGAUACCCCCGUAGUCC